rnacentral:rRNA from 1 species
GAUGAACGCUGGCGGCGUGCCUAACACAUGCAAGUCGAGCGAACCCUUCGGGGUGAGCGGCGGACGGGUGAGUAACGCGUGGGUAACCUGCCCUGUACACACGGAUAACAUACCGAAAGGUAUGCUAAUACGAGAUAAAAUGUAAUGAUCGCAUGGUCGAUACAUCAAAGCUCCGGCGGUACAGGAUGGACCCGCGUCUGAUUAGCUAGUUGGUGAGGUAAUGGCUCACCAAGGCGACGAUCAGUAGCCGACCUGAGAGGGUGAUCAGCCACAUUGGAACUGAGACACGGUCCAAACUCCUACGGGAGGCAGCAGUGGGGAAUAUUGCACAAUGGGCGAAAGCCUGAUGCAGCAACGCCGCGUGAGCGAUGAAGGCCUUCGGGUCGUAAAGCUCUGUCCUCAAGGAAGAUAAUGACGGUACUUGAGGAGGAAGCCCCGGCUAACUAC